GGCCAGUGCUGUGCUCCUGCAGAGGGUGGCAGUGUGGCUCCAUGCUCAGUCUCCGCGAUCCCUCUGCCGCUCCUGGCGCCGGAGAGCGGCGCGCAUCGUCCUGCCCUGGCCCGGCCCGGGGCUCUCUCUCCUUACAGACCCAUGGAAGAAGGCCUGAUCCAGACAGUCCCUCUGGAUGGACACAGUCAAAUUCUCUUCUGCUAUUAAUUGAGUGACAUCUGAUGGACAAUGCAUCAUCAUGCUGCUACUGGUUUCGUCUGUGGAUGCUCACUUAAUAAAGACCAAAUCACUUAACAGAGGGAGUCAUCCAAGAGGUUUGCUGUACAGAAGGGAAGAGUUUGGGGAAUCUAAAUUAAACAUUUGAACUUCAACUAUUCAGAGGAACCCAGAGAUGUGGGGAGGACUUGGCCUACUGUGUUGUGAAAACUGUCAAGUCUGAGGUGAUUGCAUGUAGGAUGAGUGGGCCAAGGAGCU